GGACCUGACUGCUAUCGGAUUGAUACUAAGCCAUGCGAGCCAUUGUAGCAAUACAAGGCAUACGGCUCAGUAACGCGUAGUCAACCUAACCUAUGGACGGGAAUAACCUCGGGAAACUGAGAAUAAUGCCCGAUAGAACAUUAUGCCUGGAAUGGUUUAUGUUCCAAAUGAUUUAUCGCCGUAGGAUGGGACUGCGGCCUAUCAGUUUGUUGGUGAGGUAAUGGCCCACCAAGACUAUUACAGGUACGGGCUCUGAGAGGAGUAGCCCGGAGAUGGGUACUGAGACACGGACCCAGGCCCUAUGGGGCGCAGCAGGCGAGAAAACUUUGCAAUGUGCGAAAGCACGACAAGGUUAAUCCGAGUGGUUUCUGCUAAAGAAACCUUUUGUCAGUCCUAGAAACACUGAUGAAUAAGGGGUGGGCAAGUUCUGGUGU
rnacentral:rRNA from 1 species